UUAAUAUUUUUGAUCAAAUUCAACCAGGAUUAGCCACAAGUUUAAGUAUUAUUUUGAUCAGCAGAUUUAAAUGAUUAACUACCUGAAAAGAAAUGUAAUCACUACUGAUUUCAAGUUACAGGAACUCACAUGAGCUAAUUAAGUUAAUUGGAAGAUUUGACGCAUAGAAUAGAUUAAAUGCUAAUGAUAAAAUCAGAACUAAAAAUAUAUUUUUCUAAUCAAAGAUGCAGUUUGCAAGAUUUUUAAGCAGUGAAACAUCUCAAAAGUGUUAUCAAGACUCAAGAGGAAUAAAUAAGUGAAGCUUCUCUGAAGAACCCAUCACGGAACACUGAUUUGCUGUGUUAAAGGACUUUCAAAAUAUGUUUUUUAGGUCAGGCACAGAAAAAAGACACAUCUUGAAGCUCAUAAUGUCUUCCCCAGAGGAAUUUGGUCAUGGUUAUAUAAUUUGUGUAUGGUUAGGGUGUUUGCCUGAAGAUAAUCACCAAUGUCAGAUGCAUCAUGUCAGAAAAUCCUGUCCACUCGAGGUUGUGACUGACUGCUAUACCAGAAAAUUUAUGUUGUUUGAUCUGGAUUCCCUUGAGUGAUCCUGGACCUGCGGUCGGUGAUGUGCUGACACUCAGCAUUUGGCUGUUUGUGAACUCACACGCUCAUGGAUGACAGAAACCAAGUCGUCCUCGCUGCCGCACAACCUUCUUGCCCUCCUGCUUUGGCUCAUCAAUACACCUCAUUCGUCCCUGACCACUGAGGGGGUCAAGUCUGCCAGAGGACAGUUGGGAGAGCAUGCAUGAAGAUGGAAAAGAGGGAGACAUGGAAAAAGGUCCAAGCCUCAUUGUCUACAUGUGGGCACUGAACUCGAGCUGAUGUGUGCAUCCAUCUUUAGUUAGCCUCUGAAAGAACAGCAGCCCUGGAUCAUCUCCCUGCCCUGCAGCUUCCAGACAGCAGAUGCUUGUUCAAGAAGUACAAAGGUGGUCAUAAGCGUGGUAUCAAAAUCAGCAGCGAGGCUAUCCGGGUUCCUGCAUGGCUGGCCGGUUUGCCUCUGCUACUUGACAGCUCCUGUCUUUCCACUCCAGCGUCACUGAAUGUUAUCUGCGCAGCUGUGUUAGACUGCAUCCCCAUCCCAGCUUCCCUGUGCGAAGCCCGUGUACCUCUAAGACUGUGAAAAGCCAGGGAACAAUAGUAUCUUGUGUUCCAUUCCCUGUUAUCUGUCCUUCACUCCUUUAUUGAAAAGGCUUACCUCAUUUUCUAUUAAUUACACGAAAACAAUGAUUUUAGCCAAAGAUGGGCUCCCCCGGCGAUUCUGCAACUGUUCUUUAAUCUUGGUUAUGAAGAGGGAACAAUGAAGCUGUUGUGCUGUAGUGGCUAGGAUAGAAAAAAACCUGCAUUUAAAUAACACUGAGAUAAUAUGCGUGCAGCCUUGCGUUGACUCGUACAAAUAUGUAAAAUCCUGAAUAAACGUGCUAUGAGUCUUUGUUAUGAUAAAAGCAAUAAUACGUUGUGUGAAUUGAUCCGUGGAUGCUGUGUGUGUGUGUGUGUGUGUGUGUGUGUGUGUCUGCUUGAACAUGCAAGUGUGCAUUAUUUGUGAGCAUGCCUUUGCAUUAAAACUACCUUAUUAUCCUCCUCAGGGGUGUUAAGCAUUGUCCUUAAUCCUUGUAACAGGAACUUUGCCUUAACAAUUUAUGUCCCUCUCUUUGGCUUUCUAAAGACCAAAACUAGGAUCAAGACCAGCAGGCCUUCAGCAGGCCUUCAGCAGACUGUAAAAUCCUGAAUUCACAGUUUUGACUUCAGCCUGAAGUAGCAAGCUGUAAACGACAACAGGUUCCUCUCAAAUGAAAAAGAACUAGAGAACAAUGUUUUAAUCUGUGAUGAUCGGAGGAGGAGGAAGCUGAACUUCUCUAUACCGCAAACAGGCAAAAAAAAAUCAGUGUUUAAUUUAAGUUGUGGAGUGUUAAAAUGAAAAUGCUAGUGUUCAUGGAAGUUGACACCCAUCAAAGUUAAUUUAGUUUUGAACAGCUGCCAGCUUUCACAA